rnacentral:rRNA from 1 species
AACGCGAAGAACCUUACCUGGGCUCGAAAUGUAGAGGACGACAUCAGAGAUGAUGUUUCUCGAAAGGGUCUUUACAUAGGUGCUGCAUGGCUGUCGUCAGCUCGUGCCGUGAGGUGUUUGGUUAAGUCCAGCAACGAGCGCAACCCUUAUCGUUAGUUGCCAACGCGUAAUGGCGGGAACUCUAACGAGACUGCCUGGGUUAACCAGGAGGAAGGUGAGGAUGACGUCAAGUCCGCAUGGCCUUUAUGUCCAGGGCUACACACGUGCUACAAUGGUCGGUACAGAAGGCAGCGAAACCGUAAGGCGGAGCAAAUCCUGUAAAACCGAUCUCAGUUCAGAUUGUAGACUGCAACUCGUCUACAUGAAGUUGGAAUUGCUAGUAAUGGCGUGUCAGCAACAACGCCGUGAAUACGUUCCCGGGCCUUGUA